AGCAGUAGCCACGGGAAUACGGAGGGAGCUAGCGUUGUUCGGAAUUACUGGGCGUAAAGCGCGCGUAGGCGGUUACUCAAGUCAGAGGUGAAAGCCCGGGGCUCAACCCCGGAACUGCCUUUGAAACUAGGUGACUAGAAUCUUGGAGAGGUCAGUGGAAUCCCGAGUGUAGAGGUGAAAUUCGUAGAUAUUCGGAAGAACACCAGUGGCGAAGGCGACUGACUGGACAAGUAUUGACGCUGAGGUGCGAAAGCGUGGGGAGCAAACAGGAUUAGAUACCCGGGUAGUCCCUGUCUCUUAUAC
rnacentral:rRNA from 1 species